GUGCCUACGGGGGGCAGCAGUGGGGAAUAUUGCGCAAUGGGGGAAACCCUGAUGCAGCAACGCCGCGUGAGUGAAGAAGUCAUUCGUGAUGUAAAGCUCUAUCAGCAGGGAAGAAAAUGACGGUACCUGACUAAGAAGCCCCGGCUAAAUACGUGCCAGCAGCCGCGGUAAUACGUAUGGGGCAAGCGUUAUCCGGAUUUACUGGGUGUAAAGGGAGUGCAGGCGGCUUGGCAAGUCUGAUGUGAAAGGCUGGGGCUCAACCCCAGGACUGCAUUGGAAACUGUUAGGCUGGAGUGUCGGCGAGG
rnacentral:rRNA from 1 species